GGAAUUUUCGGCAAUGGAGGAAACUCUGACCGAGCAAUGCCGCGUGAAUGAUGAAGAUCUUCGGAUUGUAAAAUUCUGUUAUUGGGGAAGAAUUACACUAUUAGGAAAUGAGUAGUGCUUGACAGUACCUGAUUAGAAAGCCCCGGCUAACUACGUGCCAGCAGCCGCGGUAAUACGUAGGUGGCAAGCGUUAUCCGGAUUUAUUGGGCGUAAAGCGAGCGCAGGCGGUUUCUUAAGUCUGAUGUGAAAGCCUUCGGCUUAACCGAAGAAGUGCAUCGGAAACUGGGAAACUUGAGUGCAGAAGAGGACAGUGGAACUCCAUGUGUAGCGGUGAAAUGCGUAGAUAUAUGGAAGAACACCAGUGGCGAAGGCGGCUGUCUGGUCUGUAACUGACGCUGAGGCUCGAAAGCAUGGGUAGCGAACA
rnacentral:rRNA from 1 species